CAGUUCCGCAGCAAGCUUCGACUCCCACACUUUGCGAAGCCAAGCCACUAUGAGCUACAUUUCCGCCCCAACCUCGUCUCUUACACCUUCUCCGGUGUGGUGGCAGUCAAUGUCACCGUCAUAACACCCACCCGUUUCCUCGUUCUCAAUGUUGUGGAACUCAUGGUUGACCCUGCUUCCAUAAAAUUUAAGUGUUUAGUGCCGACCGAGGUGGUGUUUUUUAAGGAUGAUCAAAUUAUGGUGAUUGGUUUUCAGAAAGAGCUUCCAGUAAGUGAAGGUGUGCUCAGGAUGCACUUCAAUGGCACUCUCAAUGAUGAGACGAGGGGAUUUUUCAAGAGGUAUGAGUAUAAGGGGAAGAUAGCAAACAUGGCGGCGACAAACUUUCAACCCGUGGAUGCUCGGCGGUGCUUUCCUUGUUGGGAUGAGCUUGCUUUCAAGGCUAAGUUCAAAAUAACAUUGGAAGUUCCAUCUGAGUUGGUAGCACUGUCCAACAUGCAUGUAUCUAGUUAGAUAGUGGUUGGUCCUAUCAAGAUUGUCGAAUUUGAGGAAUCGCCUCUAAUGUCAACUUACUUAGUUGCCAUGGUUGUUGGUAUUUUUGACAUUGUAGAGCAUGUAACAUCACAUGGCACUAGAGUUCGUAUGUACACUGAAGUUGGUAAGAGUGAAUAAGGGAAAUUUGCAUUGGAUGUUGGAGUGAAGUCAUUGGAUUUCUAUAAUGAUUACUUUGGCACUCCUUAUGCACUCUCUAAAUUGGAUAUGAUUGGUAUUAGCAACUUUAGUUGGAUGGGCAUGGAGAACUAUGGAUUGGUUACUUUCGAAAUCCAAGAUUUGCUAUUUAAUGAGACAUCUUCAACAUCUACCAAACAACACAUUGCCGUUACCGUGGCACAUGAAUUGGCUCAUCAGUGGUGUGGCAAUCUUGUAACCAUGGAGUGGUGGAAUCACUUAUGGCUAAGUGAGGGACUUGCUACAUGGAUGGCCUAUCAAGCUGUAGAUUCUAUUUUUCCUAAAUGGAAUAUUUUGAUGGAGUUUCUUGAUAGUACAAUUUCUACUCUUAAAUUGGAUUCAAUAACUGGGUCACACUCUAUCGAGGAUCAAAUACACCAUACCAGUGAAAUCUUUGAUAUAUUUGAUGACAUCAACUAUAUUAAAGAUUAG
rnacentral:rRNA from 1 species